AGAGUGUACCGCAGACAUCAUUCCUACUACAGUGGCGGAGCCGUACAGGACCUGUUUCACUGCAGGGGGAUCCAAAACAAGCUCCGUGGAGCAGCAGCCAGAGCCACAGCGGCCGCGAGACACUCUCUCUCUCCCCUAUCCCCCUUCCCCACGCAACCCCAGAUCCAUUUACACUUUACAGGGCAUCGUGCAACAAGUCGCCAGGGUGAUCCCUUCGAGAAGCAGGCUUGGAUUUCGUCCUCUUCCCGCGGGCUCCUCCUCCACAGCCGCCACUGGGAAGUGCAUCUCCUGUCAGCAUCCUGGGCCAUCAUGUAAGAGUCUGCUCUGAGGCCUCCCUGGGAGUGCUGCCAUAGGCCGUGAGCACGAGGGGCAGGAGUGGACCCCAGCCUGCCCCGAGGAUCCUGAAACACAGCUCCUCUCUGGUCUAGGCAUCUGACACAUCCUACUGCCACCCUUUAUGUUCAAGCAGAAUCCUGUGCGGGCAUCUACUAAGAAGAGACCAACUGCAUAUGGUUCUCCAUUGUGAUGAAAGCGCAUGGUACAGGUCCUUUCCACCUCUCCAGGGAAGGAAGAAAGGCCCGGAGCCCUCCCGCUUCUGUAGGACAUCUUCAUGGUGAACUGUAGGCUGAGGCUACCUGGGAACGUAGCACAGUGAAUGCUUAUAGAUGACGAAACGGACGGACGCUGAGAAAAGUUCAGUAAUUAUGCAAGAUUACUCAAGGGGCGAUGCCAUAACCAGAACUUGAACCCAGAUGUUUUGAGUUUCUGACUUCAAAGCUCGAGGACUUUCAUGUACACAGAACGGAAUAAAGUUUCUUUUUAAAGAUUUGCUUGAAAGCCGAGCUCAGUUUUCAUUAGCGCGUUGUCUGGACACAAAGGACGGUGAACAAAGUAAAUUUGAGGAAGCUUAAAUGAGGUAAGCAUUCUUUUCCAAGCUUUUAGCUAAAAAUAGUUUCAGCUAAACUCUGGCCAGAAUCUUCACAUUCUAGCCCUUGAGUUUCUGAGCCACUAAGAGCUUCUGAUUAGGUACAACUUGUCAGACAUUUUCAGAAAGAAUUACAAAGUUU